rnacentral:tRNA from 1 species
CGGGCUGUGGCUCAGCUUGGUAGAGCGCCACGUUCGGGACGUGGAAGCCGUGGGUUCAAAUCCCACCAGCCCGA